UGGGGAAUUUUGGACAAUGGGCGCAAGCCUGAUCCAGCAAUGCCGCGUGCAGGAUGAAGGCCUUCGGGUUGUAAACUGCUUUUGUACGGAACGAAAAGCCUCUCUCUAAUACAGGGGGUGAUGACGGUACCGUAAGAAUAAGCACCGGCUAACUACGUGCCAGCAGCCGCGGUAAUACGUAGGGUGCAAGCGUUAAUCGGAAUUACUGGGCGUAAAGCGUGCGCAGGCGGUUUUGUAAGACAGUGGUGAAAUCCCGGGCUCAACCUGGGAACUGCCAUUGUGACUGCAAGGCUGGAGUGCGGCAGAGGGGGGAUGGAAUUCCGCGUGUAGCAGUGAAAUGCGUAGAUAUGCGGAGGAACACCGAUGGCGAAGGCAAUCCCCGUGGGCCUGCACUGACGCUCAUGCACGAAAGCGUGGGGAGCAAACAGGAUUAGAUACCCUGGUAGUCCACGCCCUAAAACGAUGUCAACUGGUUGUUGGGGAUUUAUUUCCUUCAGCAACGAAGCUAACGCGUGAAGUUGACCGCCUGGGGGAGUACGGCCGCAAGGUUAAAACUCAAAUGAAUUGACGGGGUC
rnacentral:rRNA from 1 species